rnacentral:lncRNA from 1 species
UUCUAGAAAUUUAUACUAGUUAAGAGAAUAUGCAAGUCAUGCAAUAACCUUACCUCAUUAAGUAUGGUUAGCACGGUCUCAGGUUUAAGCUCCUUGGCUUGGAUACCUUGUUUUACGCAAGACUGGAAGCCACCUUGGACCAGGUAUGGUCUCUGUCACAUAAAAAUGCAAACAAACAAUUAGCAAUAUGAUACAAUAGGUUGUGGUUCCAGAUUAACAAUAGACUCACCUGGCAGUUCAAAUUUUCUUAUAAUGCAGGUCACAAGGUUUAAUUCUGCAAAAUUCUACUAUCUUCUGUAUCUAAAUUAUAUGAUUAGUCCAGGAAUGACCCAUGAUAUCAUCUAGAAUUCACGCAUUUAACUUGUUUCUCUGCAAGCCAUUUACACUACAAUACAGCCCAGCAAUCUAUGGAGUGAAAUAAAAGAACAUUGAAAUUGAUUAAUACAUUGCACUUCCCAUUCAAGCAAGGUAAAGACUUUUUUUUUUUUUUUUUUGAGAGAGAGAUAUUUUAAGGACAUAAGUUAGAUGUAAUACUAAUGCGCUUUAUGAAUUAUACCACUUGAGAACAACAGGAAUGAAAAUUGGGUUCUAUCUAUAGCAUUUAUACGACAUAAAAACAUGCAUAAGGAGUAACGGUUUUUGACUUAACAACAUUGUAAAUGCACAAAAGACAUUAAUGUACUCUUCCCAAAUCUAGUUCAUAUGGAUAUUGUUAUUUGUUUCUAAGGUUACUGAUACUGAAAAACUCUCAGAAAUGUUUUUUAUUCCAAAGAUAAAUUUUCUUUUCGCCCUUCUAGUUCAUGAUGAAUAAUUAGAUGUUUAGCCUUUUAUGUAAUAAAAAAAAUCUUAGAGAUUCCAAAUACUUGCCUUAACCCCAAGCUUUCUCAAGGAUCUAGCGAUGCUUUUAGAACGAGAACCAUCAACAUCCAUAACAAUUACCUGGUACCUGUCCUACAAGUAUAAGAAAAAAAAAAUCUCUGAGACAAUGUUCCUGCUUCAGGAUUUAAACAUGGAACGCUCAGGAGAUUGUGAUGUAGCAACUGUACUGCAUAUGGUAAUACCAAAACAAUUUCUUGUGUCCUCAGAGGCCACUGAUGCUAAAACACACAACAUUGCUUGAACCAAGCCCAAAUCCCUCCCCCCGAGAAUUUCCUUUCUUUCUUGCACUACUCAGAAUUCUCAUUUUUCUGAAUGUCUCGAAACAAUGACGGCAUGCAUAAACAAUAGUUAUAUCAUUAAAGUUAAUAUAAAAAAAUUAAAUAUAUAGGAUUUUUAUUAUUUUUUUAAUAUAAAAAAUUUCUAAUUAUAAAUUAAAAUAUUUAUAUAUACAUUAAGUUAAUAAAUUAAUAUUUGAUCAAUAAAUAACUAAAUAGAAUUAAGAUAUUUAUACAACAAAAAAUUAAAUGUGAAAAAAAAUAAAAAUAAACACGAAGAUCAUUUCCUAAAAAAUUAAAUAUUAGGGGUGAAAUUAAAAAAAUAAUUUUAAAAAAUAUAAAAAGAUAAAAAUCUACAAUUGUGAACUUUUGAAAGUCGUGAUAAUUGUUUUUAAAAAAUUGGAAUUGAAGAACUAAAUUAAAAACAAAUAAAACUUUUUCAAAAUGGUUAAGGAAAAGAAUUAAAUAUAGAAAGAAUAAGGAUCAUAGCUGAAAUAUCAAUAAUAAAGAUGACCAACUUGUAACUUUUGAAAGAAAAGAAAAAAAAAAUAACUUGUCAAUGACAAACCAACCAACCUCUACCAAAAAGACAAAUUGACCACCUAAGGCACACGCACAUCGCCCAAAGAACACAAAUGUCUCUCAUGCGAUGACAUGUGAAUUACGUGUAUCAAUAACUUUUUAAAUUUAAAAAUUAGUUAAUCAUUUUAAAUGACCAAAUUGUCCCUCAUAGUUUUGCAAUUAACAAAAAAAUCCGAUGUCAACAAACAAAAAAAAUCUCUAGACUAAUGAUUUAUUUUUUCUUGAUUUGUAAGAGUAAAUAUAUUUUUUUACUGUAUUUAAAAAACUUAAAUACCCUUAAUAAAUAAUGUCAUAACUCAAUUCUGAGUUAUUCUUCAAAAUUCACUUUUUUUUAAAAUAAAAAUAAAAAAUAAAAUAAAGGCUGACAACGUGGAGAAAGUAGGCCAGGAAAUCAAGUUGGAAUUUUUGGAAGAAAUUCAAGACCUAAUUAUACCCCAUUAUGCCCAAAAAUGGAGAAAAAUGCAAAUUCAAGGUUAAAUUAAAUGAUGAUUGGAUAAAUUUGCAUAAAAAUUAAGUCCAAUGACAUAAUUAAAUUUUUCAUAGGCCAAUUUGAUUUAAUCAUGGGCCAAAUUAAAUUUUAAUUAUGUUUAAGAACUAAUUUGGGUCCAAUUGAAGGAUUUAAUUAAGUGCAAGGACUUAAUUAUACUUUAAAUAGGUCAAAUUUAUUUUAUUUGGGGCUUAAUUGGUGAAAAAUUAAGUUUGGGAGCCUAAUUUGGGCUUAAUUGAGAAGAUUGGAAUUUUAAGAGACCAAAUUUAAUUUUUACCAAGUUAAUUGAUUGAAAUUAGGGGCCAAAUUGCAAGAUAAUUGAAUUUUUGAGGUCAAUUAAGCGUUAAAUUGACAAAAUUAGAAGUCAAGGAUCAAUAUGCAAAAGGCGCCAAAUUAUAGGGGUUUAAUUGAUAAAAUUCGGGGGUUAAAUUGAAGAAAUUGAAAGUUUAAUAGUCAAUUCGGGAUGAAAUUGCAUAAAUCCGAGACGAAGGACCAUAUUGCAAAAGACGCGUAAAUCCAGGGUUAAAGUUGAAGUUACGCCAGGACCUAAUUGCAUUAAAUCAAAAGUUUAUGAUCAAUUAGGGAUUCUAUUGAAAGCAAUUGAAAGCUGGAGGACUAAAUUAAAAAUCAGCAAAAAUCCCUAAUUUUAGGCCAAAACAGCACCGUCUUUGAGUAAAAAAACAAAAGAAGAGACCAGGCGAUGCGUCGCCUGGUCACUGUUCAUCAUCUUCCUCGUGAAGCUGUCAGGGUAGCAGUUUUGCAGGUGCAUUUAAUGCAUCGUUUGUCCCCCAACAUUGACAAAUCAUGCACCAAAAUGACCACCUGAAAAUCCCUAUAUCCCCGAGUAUUAUCCGUUCAGGCCUAUAAACGUCAAAACUGCUUCGACGACUGACCUGAAGUAGGCAAUUCGGGCAGCCUUGGACUGUCAAAUUUGGCAGUUCGAGGUGCACACUUUGAACCAACGGUUGGGAUGCUUACCAACCAAGCCAAAGGCCAUGAUUUGGCGUCAGGUAGCACCACCCCGUCAUCGUUGUAACUAAGUUGUUGCAUACAGAACGAAUUCUCGUUUUGCAUGUAGCCUUAUUAAUUUGCAUGGUUGUUGGGUCGGGCCAAACACCAUGCUGGCUUGGGCCGGACCAUUUGGGCCCGGCCCCGCCCAAAAAAGAAAAGAAAAGGAUCUGUUGGGCCGAGAUCGGACCAACCAAAAGUUCCUGGGCUUGGCCUAGUCAUCUGGGCCGGCCCAGCCCACAUGUUUUAAUAAUAUUUAUUUAAUAUAAUUUUAUAUAUUUCUUUACAAAAAAAAGAAAAAAAUCCAAAAAUUUUCAAAAACAAUUAAAAAAAUUGUGAUUUUCUUAAAUAUUUUUCUACCAAUUUUGCAUAAUAUCGGGUUGUAUAUUUACACUGUAAAAUACAAAUCCAGUAUUAAAAUACUCGGUUUUCUCUGAAAUAUUUCAAAAAAAAAUUCAAAACAUUUUCAAAAAAAAAUCUCAAAAAAUAUAUUUUGUUUUCAUGCAUACGGCCAAAUCCUAAAAAAUUUCCAAGCAUAUUUUCAUUAAAAGAUUGCAUCUUUCUCAUGUUUUAAAAAUCCAAAAAUAGAUAUCAUAACCAGUUUAUAAUCAUCCAUUAGGAUUUGGCCAAAAUAUCAAAAAUCUUUUUCCAAUCUUUUUUAGGAUCCAGAUGUAGACUUUAAUAUUUGUAGGAUGUAAAAUUACACGAUAAAAUACACCCUCAAGUAUUAAAGACACAAGGUGUAAAAAUACGAUGCUAAAAUUUAGAUUUUAGAACGAUUAGAUUUUAACCCGAUAGGAUAGAGACUUUCUCAUGAAGAUAGAUCUACCUUGAGCCUUAGAAAAGACCAACGAAUAGAACCCGACUUAGAAAAAACAAUCAAACAACAAUGCAGCUUACCUUAGGUAGGAUGCCCUGGGGUGAUGCGUCUUUCCCUUUCACAACCAGUCCCUUACUUAGACUCUCGCAGACCAUAGGUUCCUAAUAACCAUUAAUACUAGGUCGCUAGACGACAUCGCGGCGCUCGACCCCCGCGACAAAUAACAUUAGUUUUUUUUAUAUGAAGAUUAAAAUAAUCAUUUUACUACGCAUAAAAAAUAAAAAAGUCCCAUAUGUCCUAGUAAAAAAAUUGCCCAUAACUCAAAAGCUUCUGGUUACAUAUAUGUUUCCCGGUGAAAUAAUUAACUGACCAAUACGAAAAGAUAGAAUUGCCCUUAACUCAUAAGCGUUUUGGUUUCUACUUAGAAGGGGAAAAAUGUAAUUAAAGUGUCGCAAUGAAUAGUUUUUUUAGUCUUUAUGCAUGGUAUUCUCUAUAGUAUUUUGGUAACAUGUUUUCUUGUUUCUAUUAAUUAAAAAAAAUAUUAAAAUUAACUCUAAUUUUACCAGAUUAACAUUGAUUUUGAUUUGAAAAAAAAAAUCCAGCCCAAAUUACAUUUUGAGUCAAGAAGUCCCCAAUUAAUCCGUCAAGAGUCCACCAAGUUUAAUAUAUGUGCGAGGGAUCAAUUAUUUUAAUUUGAUUCUUUUAUAGUAUUAUUUUCUUGCGGUGGCUCUUUAUUUUUGUGGAAUUAGCCAUAACCCCUUCAAUUCUUUGUAAUUUUCUAUUUGUUGUCCGAGUUGUUGUGACUCUUCUCAAUUCUCACCAUCCUCUAGUGCUGGGCUGGCCGAAUGGAGACCUGCAAUUUUACAAAAGAGUUUAUGUAUGUCUUGUAAUUUGCUUUAAAUAAAUGUAAAAUAGUUGUAGGAUGAUUUUCUUAAUCAAAUUAAAAGGAUAAACUUUUUUAUUUAUUUAUUUUUAUAGCAUGUCAUGUAUUUAUGAUUUAAAGAAUAGGAUUGCAGGGGUGAAAUCAUCUACACCGGUGAUAUUGCUGGUGCUUUCUGCAUAAGAUCACAUCAAAAUGGAGUCAUUCGUUUUAAUUUUUGCAGAUUCCUUUGAAUGGUGCUAGUUAUUUUGGUGCUCUGAGUGUUUUGUGGAGCAAUGCAGGACUUCUUCUCAAUCAAAUCAUCAUAAUUAUAAUAUAAAAGCAAAAAUAUUAUCAGCACACACAAACACUUGGAUUGAAGAUAUAGAAAGUGUUUAUAAGUGUUAUGAGUCUUAUGAUAGUUAAUUUUUAAAAUGUUUUUUUAUUGAAAAUAUAUUAAUAUAUUAUUUUAUUUAUUUUUAAAGAAUUAUUUUUUACACCAACGUACCAAAACAAACAAAAAAAACUAAAAAAAAUCAAUUUAAAAAAAUAUAAAAAAAUCAAAAUUUAUAAAAACAUUGUUUAUGCCAUAAAGACAAACAGCUCCUAAAUGCCCUUUCCUACCACAUCACAAAUAAAAAGACCUGAAGCCUUUUGUACAUGGAAAAUUUAUGGGAAGUGCACCAGGGCUUGUAGCCCAGCGGCAGAGGCAAGGUUUCCUUGUCUCUGUCACCUGGGUUCGAGCCUUAGCGUGCACGCCUGUCACUCCCGCGGUGUUUUACUUACCUGCUGGGCUUGCAGGGUGUUCAGUGGAUCCGGGGAUUAGUUGUGGUGCGCGUAAGCUGGCCCGGACACCCCGGGUUACCAAAAAAAAAAAAAUUUUACGGGAAGUCAACAAUGUGCACCUUUUGUAAUGUCGUGAGAAAAUACUUGGAUUUAAAGUUUUUUAAUUUUUUAAUUUUAAAUUAAUUUUUUUGUUUUUUUUAUGUUAAAAAUAAAUUUUUAAAAAUAAAAAAAUAUUAUUUUAAUAUAUUUUCAAAUUAAAAAUAUUUUACAAAAUAAUAGCUGCUACAAUACUAAUAGUUUCUCUAAAAAAAUUAUUUUGUAUUGGACGAAACAGUUCAUUCGGUCCGGAUAGUAAAGUUUUCAUAACAAGUAGGGACAAACAAGUAAUUAACAAUAUAGUUAUCAAGACAUAUGCACUUGAAAUAUGAUGCCUUCGCAAUAAUAAAUGGUCCUAGAUUUCUCAAAUUCUAUGAUGACAAAGAUGAAAUGAUCUUUCCUUUUAAAAUGCACCUUCCUCCUAAUGGCCUCGAAUAUCUUUCUAGUAAGCUGAGAUAUUUGCACUGGUUUAGAUUCCCUUCGAAAUCCUUUCCGCCAUCUUUUCGUGCUGACCUCCUUGUCGAGCUUGACCCACGCGGAAGCAAGCUUGUAGAACUUUGGACAGGAGUAAAGGUAUGAUUUAAUUGCUGCAGAUUUAUGAUCACAAAUAUAAAGUUGGAGGUGCUAACUUUCUAAUUAUGCCUUUUUCUGUUGGCAGGAUGUUGGAAAUUUAAGAAAAAUUGACCUAUCUGACUCUCGAUAUUUGACGGAAUUGCCAGAUCUAUCAAAGGUCAAAAAUUUAGAGUGCUUAAAACUUGUGUUCUGUUCAAGUUUAGCCAGCUGUGAUAUGAUAAACAAGAAUAUAUAUAUAUAUUAUAUGCUUUUGAUUUUUAAAAAUUAUUUUUAUAUCAGUAAAUUAAAAAAAUAAAAAAAUUAAUUCUUUAAAAAAAUUAAAAUUUAUAAAAAUAGUGUCAAUACAACGUAUAAAUGCCUUUUUUUAUCGCAUCACUUUGUAACUGGGGAAUUUCCAGGAAAUCAACCAAUGGUUACUUCCGUAAUGCCAAAGAAAAUUCUUGGAUUUGAUGCCCCCUUUAUUAUAAAUUAUUCAUAUGCCUAAGGCAGGGUCUUCCACACGUAAAGCCUAAGCUACUGAUUCAAAAUCAGCCUCAUCUUUUUUCCUUGAGUUGCUUCCGCUCUCUCCCUCCAGACCUACCUUACCACCAGAGUCCUAACUCUUGUCUCUUCGAAAUGUUCGCGUAUAUAUCUCAAUCGCCAUCUACUCCUUCCACCUUAACCACCGGCCAUCCAAAAGGAAUUAAACAUGAUGUCUUCCUUAGUUUCAGCGAACAAGACACUCUGGCUGGUUUUACCAGCCAUCUCUAUGCUGCUUUGGACCGGAAACAAAUCCUAACUUUCAUAGAUUAUCAGCUUGUGAGAGGAGAUGAGAUUUCGGCAUCACUUCUGAGAACAAUUGAAGAGGCCAAGCUUUCUGUGAUUGUUUUUUCUGAAAACUAUGCAUCUUCCAAAUGGUGCUUGGAGGAGCUUGUAAGGAUUUUUGAGUGUAGAAAAAACAAUGGACAGAUAGUUAUUCCGGUAUUCUACAAGGUGGAUCCAACCCAUCUAAGACAUCAAACAGGAAGCUUUGGGGAUGCAUUUGCUAGACUUAUAAGGAAUAAAGCUCUGACGUUGGAAGAAGUGCAGAGCUUCAGAGACGCUUUGACGGAUGCAGCCAAUCUAUCUGGAUGGAGCUUAGGGAAUUCUGGGUAAGCUCUUGAAAAUCCCAUGAGAAAAUGUUCGUUCAUUUGUUGAGGAUUUGAAAUUUAAUUUAAAAUUAUUGAGAAUGAUGAGCUCUGUGAAUCCAUAUUUAUUUUAUUUGAUUUUGAAAACGUUGUAGCGAAACACUUCUGUAGAUAUUAUGUGGUUGGUUGUUCUGUGUAUUAAAAUAUUUGUUUUUUUAUUUAAAUAAUUAAUGUUUUUAGAUUAUUUUAAUGUGCUUGUAUUAAAAAAUAAAAAAGUAUUAUUUGUAGUCAAAUAUUUGUAUAGAUAUUAAGUGGUUGUUUGUUUUUCUGUUUUAAAAUGUUUUAUAAAAAAAUUAAAUUUUUUUAGUGUUUUUAUAUUAUUUUGAUAUGUUUGUAUUAAAAAUAAUUUUUUAAAAAAAUUAUUUGUAGUGAAAUGUUUGUAUACAUAUUAAGGUUUGUAUUGAUAUCAAGUGGCUGUUAGUUUUUGUGUUUCAAAAUGUUUUUUAAAAAUAAUUUUUUAAAAAAUAAUUUUUUUAUUUUAAAUUAUUGUUUUUAGUGUUUUUAAAUUAUUUUAAUGUAUUUAUAUAAAAAAUAUUAUUUAGAAGAUAUUAUGUUAAUAUAUUUUAAAAAAUAAUCAUCACUAUUUUCUUGAAUAUCCUUCAGUUUUAGAAAAUAAAUAGGACAGUAAAUGUUUUCUUCUGUCGUUAAAUAAUAUUCUAUUUAUUUGAGUAUUUAUUUGAGGUGAAAAGGAUAAUGCAAUAAUAAAAAAUAAUAUUGAUUGAGAUAUGAGAAAACAUCAUAUGCAUUUGCAUUUCAUUGAUUUUCUUAGAUAAACACCGAUUACAUGUAGUUUCCAGUUUCAAGGAUUGGUUAACUCAUACGUGCCUGCUACUAAGGAGUGAGUAUGUUUAUAUGUGUUCUUCUUGUUUGUCAGCCCGGAGUCUGAAUUUAUUGAGAAAAUCGUUGGAGAUGUUUUGAAAAAAUUGCACGCCAUGUCUUCAAGUCACACUAUGACGGGUCUAUUUGGAAUUGAUGUUCGUGUUAGCAAAGUUGAGUCUUUGUUAAAUAUGGAAUCUCCAGAUGUUCUCAUUAUAGGGAUAUGGGUAAUGGGUGGUAUCGGUAAGACAACGAUUGCUGAAGUUGUGCGUGACAACAUUCGUUCUCGAUUUGAAAGAAUCUUUUUUGCAAACUUGAGGCAAAAAUCUGAUUUGCGAAGAAAAUUUCUUAAACGGCUGCUUGGCCAAGAAACUCUGAACACUAUGGGCUCCUUGAGUUUUCGAGAUUCUUUUGUGAGGGAUAGACUUCGUCGAAUUAAGGUUUUCAUUGUUCUUGAUGAUGUGGAUGAUUUAAUGCGUUUGGAUGAAUGGAGAGAUUUGCUUGAUGGACGAAACAGUUCAUUUGGUCCAGGCAGUAAAGUUCUCAUAACAAGUAGGAACAAGCAAGUGCUUACUAAUGUAGUUGACCAAACAUACAAGGUUGGGGGGUUGAAUUAUGAAGAAGCUAUUCAACUCUUUAGCUCAAAAGCCUUGAAGACAUGCAUCCCCACAAUUGAUUAUAGGCACUUGAUAGAAAAGAUUGGAAGGCAUGUACAAGGCAAUCCAUUGGCCCUUAAAGUUUUGGGUUCCUCUCUCUAUGGUAAAAGCAUCGAAGAAUGGCAUAGUGCAUUGAAUAAACUAGCUCAGCACCCUCAAAUCGAAAAGGCGUUGAGAAUUAGUUACGAUGGGUUGGAUUCAGAACAAAAAUCCAUAUUUCUUGACAUAGCACAUUUCUUCAAAGGACGGAUGCUUAUAUUAGAUUGCUUCUAUGGUCGGUCUGUGAAAUUCGAUAUAAGCACGCUCAUUGAUAAGUGUCUCAUAAGUAUUGCAAAGGAUUCCUUAUUUGGUGACAAGCUAGAAAUGCAUGAUUUAGAGUUUAUAGAAGAAUUAAAUCUAAGUGGAACUGCUAUUAAAGAGGUGCCCUCGUCAAUCCAGUUUCUCACAAGACUCAUAAUGUUGGAUAUGAGUGGUUGCUCAGAACUUGAGAGCCUCCCAGAAAUCACAGUGCCUAUGAAAUCUUUGCUGUAUCUUAUCAUGAGUAAAACAGGCAUUAAAGAGAUACCUUUGAUAUCAUUUAAGCAUAUGAUAUCUUUGUGGUCUCUAAAAUUAGAUGGAACGCCUAUUAAAGUGUUACCUGAGCUUCCCCCUUCGCUGAGCCGUCUACGUACACAUGACUGUGCAUCACUAGAAACCGUGACAUCAAUCAUCAAUAUCGGCAGCUUAUGGGAUUUUACAAAUUGCUUCAAAUUGGAUCAGAAACCACUGGUAGCAGCAAUGCAUUUGAAAAUUCAGGUAUCCCUCUUAACCCUGACUUUAUUUCUUCUCUCUUUCUUGCUUGCUUCAUCACAUUUUCGAAAUGCGACUUGUGUGUUACAGUCCGGAGAGGAGAUCCCAGAUGGCAGAAUUCAAAUGGUUCUACCGGGGAGUGAAAUUCCAGAAUGGUUCGGUAACAAAGGAAUUGGAUCUUCACUCACCAUACGGUUGCCCUCAAAUUGUCAUCAGCUCAAGGGAAUUGCUUUCUGCCUUGUCUUUCUAGUCCCUCUUCCCUUCUAUAAGGUAUAUUAUAAUUACCAUGUUAAGAGUAAAAACGGUAAGCAUGAUGAAGUCGUCUUUGCUUCCCGGGAAGAACUGACUCUAACAGAUGUCUUGGUGUCAUGUGACUCAUAUCACAUGAUUCUACACUACGAGCUCGAAUUGGUAAAACAUUUGCGUAAACACUCUGGUAAUGAAGUUACAUUUAAAUUCUACCACCUUGAAGAGGACGACUGUGGGAGGAAGUUAGGUCGUGAUAUCCGAAGGCCUUUCAAGUUGAAAAGCUGUGGGGUGUAUCUGCACUUUGAUGAAAAUCUACUGGCGGACACGGAUCUUCCUUAACAAACAAAAGUUCAGAAGAAAAUUGAGGGAGAAAUAGAAGAAAUUGGAAGGGAGAGAGAGUUCUGUAAUUACUGCAAAUUGAUCUUCAAUUAUUACUUGGUUUUCAAGAUAGCUGUAAAUAUUGUUCUUCCCUUGCAACUAACUUUCUGUUAUUCAACUAAUUCCUCAACUAACUAUAACAACCAUCUAGCGCAUUUAUUCUUGCACAUGCAGAAUACUAUAGUCAUGUUUUGGAUCUUUGAUUACCAUUUACUAACCAAAUUACAAGAAAAACAGUAAGUACAUAAAAACUUUAAAUUCAGGAUUUUAUUAUUGUAUAUUUUAUAACUCUUUAAAUAAACUCAAAACUAGCUCAGACUAUUUUUUGAACCUAAUUUAGAAAAAUUCUAGAUCUGAGCUGAUUAUAAAUAAACUCAAAAAUCUAGAUUAUAACUAACCAACCUCAUUUUAAAACUGGAUCUUGACAAAAUCUAAGGAGUCUGAAAGUUAUAACUAAUUCCUCAACUAACUUCAGUUUCAGAUGGUUGGGAUUCAUGCUUUGCAGCAGCUUGCAGCACCCGGUUUUGAACAUCUGAAGAUGAAGGUGAUGUAGGUAAACCAAUGCGGUUGUUUUCCAGUUUUCCUAUCGCCCAUGAAAAUGCCUGGACUCCAAGUCUAACAGGAGAGAGAAAACACCUUCAAAGAAGCGUUUGAAAUCCUAGUUAAUCAAGAUCUCAACAAUCCAAAAACUUGGUUAAACAUGAUCCAACUACUGAAAAGAAACUACUUGCAAACGCAUUCAAAGAAGCAUUUGAGAUCCCAGUUAAUCAAAGAUCUCAAUAAUCCAAAAACUUGGUUAAACAUGAUCCAACUACUGGAAAGAAUCCAACUGUGAAAAUGAUUAAAUAACUUCUAAACGUCUGGUGGAGGUUAGGAAAUAUGAACCUUGAUAAUGUCAUAGGCAGUUUGCUUAUCAACACGACUCAGACUUCUGACAUGAUCAGAACAUGGUCAAGAACAUAGUGUUGAAAGAACAUUUAGACACAGAAGAGAUUUGCUAUAUAUAAAUUUUUCCGUGCCCUUUACUGUGCAAAGACCAAGGUUCAUUUUGUUAAUAAAAACUCAUCAUCCCAGUAAACAUGUGAUUUGGGUUGCUAAAUAAUGUUGUACUAACAUAUGACACCUAUCUAUCUAACAUGAUACUAGGUGCGUCUUAUAUAAUUCAUUGUGCAUGAAUAAACAGACUUGAUUUCAGACCUGGUUUCCAUUAUGAUUUACAAAAUUGUGCCAGUUACACCAUAAAUACACAUCUUGCUUAAAAUCUUCAGGGCCAUUGUAAGAAGCAAUCCGCUGAUAAAUAGUCUGGCAGAGUGUGAGAAACCAAUAAUUAGAGAAACUCAAGGUUCACUUAACUAAAUUUAGCAAUGACAUAAACCUUUCCCUAGGACACAUGCAAAAUAGACAAAGGGAAUCUAGCUUAAUGGUCGUAUACAUGCUAUUUUCAUGGAUUACAUCAAAGGAUCUGAGAAUUAGCACAAUAUCAGAAUGUGUGAAGUUUGUUUUAAUCAUUAUCAGCUUAGAAAUCAACAUUUAUGUGUGUGUGAAAGAAACAUUAACCAGAGCACUAUAACAAAUGAAAGUGUACCUGACUGAGGCCAAUGAUGGCAAUAAAUUGUAAGGUCUUCUCCCACUCUGAAAUAAAGUUCAAGCUUGGUUGGCAAGAAGAAUGUGAGGAAAGCAACAAAAAAGAAAAGAAAAAAAUAAAAAAAAACCAGAAUUUAUAUCAUUGGUUCUAUAUAAUACAACUUAAGUAUUUCAAACUCUUCAACAUUUUGGGGAGUUGUUCUUGAAAAGUAAUAGAGAGCCUGUCCAUGAGGAAGAAAAUGUACAAACCUAGCAAUGCAUAUGAUGCUGCAGCAAAACCCUGUCCACAGCGUGAAUAUAGUAUAAGUAAAGGAUGCACUGGACAUUUGCAUGGUAAGCAAUAGAUAUUUAUCAAUCAUGGAUUGAUGAAUAAUGAAGACCUGAUGUAAACAGCAUGAAUAGUUCUAGUUAAUCAUGUACACAUAUUUGUGGAAGCAUGUCUCUAGACCAUACAGAAGCAUACAUUCAAAACAGAGAAAUGAACCUGUAAUUAUUUUAUGUCCUUGCUACAAAAUAAAAAGAUCGUUCCCAUCCCAUAAACACAUCUCUCUAGAUACAAGAUAUCCUUUUUAAAAAAAAGAUGGAUUUUGGGGAAAAGAAAUCCAAGUGUAGAAAUGAUUGAAAUAGACUAAUCACAGUGCAGUAUCACAAAAAACAAUCUGAUUUCUUACCACACCAUACCCAAGUGUUUGCACUGGCGAAGGUUUGAUAUCUUCUAGAAUUGCUUCAGCCUCCUGAAAUGAUGCCAAGUUGUCACAACUCACAAGUAUAUUGUGAAAAGCUUAGAUCCUGCACAAGAAAAUCAAGCACUUCCAGAAAAUACUUGUAAUUAUAAUUUGCAAUCCAUGAAAAGAAUAGCACAGAUUGACAAAGCAUAUUGAAUGUGAAUCCUAAACGACCAAAUGGUCUUAGCAACAAGAAAAAUGUUGAUUGAAAUGCGAAGGUUGUUGAUUUGUAUGAACAAGGAGAACAACCUUCCUCCCAGAUUGUAAAAUGAUCCAACAAGUUAGCUUGCUGCAUAUAUCAAAAUAACUUUCUGAGUUGUAAUGAAUCAUAUCAACUUGUUUGAUUGAAUGUUUCAAAACGUUCAUGUAGACUUGGGCUCAGAUACUUAGGACACAACCUCUUGUUGAUUUCUUACUACAUUAUCUGCACAACAGCUUCAAGAGUUCUUUAGAGCAUGUUUGGCAGUGUGGUUGCGGGUGCUUUUCAAAUAACUUUUCGUGCCAAAAUGCAUGUCAAUGAUGUUUUUUUAUUUUUUAAAAAUUAUUUUUGACAUCAGCACAUCAAAACGAUCCAAAACAUACAAACCAUAUUCAAUUUUAGUAAAAAAAAAAAAAAAUUCAAAAUUUUUGGGAACGCAGCCGCAGCCGCGUUCCCAAACAUAGUCUUAAUCAGUUGCACCCAACACGUCGGAAAAUUUACGAAAACUACAGUUCGACUAACAAUCACUUCUCCAACUGAAUUCCAUAUAAUUCAAUCUGGUGCACCAAAGAAAUAAUUCAAUCUGAACCAAAAGUCUUUAACAAGAGAUGCCAAUUCUAACACCAUUAGAUUGCAUAAAGACAAAGUAAUCAUUUUUCUCAAGAAUCAACAAUUGGAUACUGUGCAUAACUUCACUUCAUAAAUCUGUGCACCGUCAUGCUUCGAAACAUACACAAUUCCUAUGGCCUACAUACCCAGUUUACGGUAGCCCAUCAAUUACAUAUACACAAACACUCAGGAUGCACAUGUUCAUACAAGUGUGAUUGCACAUAGCACGCUCUUUUUUUUUGUUUUUUUUUAAAUCUCUCUCUCUGCACCGUCAUGCUUCGAAACAUACACAAUUCCUAUGGCCUGCAUACCCAAUUUAUGGUAGCCCAUCAAUUACAUAUAUACAAACACUCAUGAUGCACAUGUUCAUACAAGUGUGAUUGCACAUAGCACACUCUUUUUAUUUGUUUUUGAAACAAGUCUGUUACGUACCUGGAUGCCAGAAUUGGGUGCAUUAUAGGAAAAGAAGAAGAAUGCAGGAAGUGCAGGAUUAAUAAUGUCUACAGCACGCAAUCUACUGAUGGUUGUUGAAAUUCUGUUAGUUAGUUAGCAUUAAGUCAGUUAACAGAGUUUGUUACAACAGUCAGAGCUAGCUAGAGUAAUCAGUUAGUAGUUAUUACAAUGACUAUAAAAGCAGAUGGCAGGAAUCACAUUAGACAGGAAAUAUAUGGAAUAUACACACAGAAAAUUCAGUCUCAACUCUUCUCCCUCGUAUUCUCUCUAAACAAUUCCUCUGUUCUCACCUCAUUUCUUCUUCACUUGUUAAGCAACCUUAACAAAGUCUCUCCACGUAAAUUUACACACGCACUGCACAGACACAAGUACAUCUCAUAUGCCUCUGUGUGUGCAUGUUGUUCUGUGCUGUGUGGAUACCAUUUUGAUAGUAUCCAUUGGGCACCAAUGUGCACCCAGCAAAGAAAUUUCACUCUUUCCAUGUGUUUUUGAAACAAAUGUCAAAUUAAUCAAUUCUCUAAGUUUAUCUCAGCUGGCUGAAUAUAUUAUUGUAUAAUCUACAGCUUGUCAUUUUCCACACAUAUACUUUGAGUUGAUCGAUGGCUUUCAGCAAAUAGAAUUUUGAAUUUCUAGAAAUUUAUACAUUGUUUUAUAUGCAUUUCAGCUUGUUUUCUAGAAAUUUAUAUGCAUUUAUAUCUAGAGAAUAUGCAAGUCAUGCAAUAACCUUACCUCAUUAAGUAUGGUUAGCAUGGUCUCAGGUUUAAGCUCCUUGGCUUGGAUACCUUGUUUUACCCAAGACUGGAAGCCACCUUGGACCAAGUAUGGUCUCUGUCACAUAAAAAUGCAAACAAACAAUUAGCAAUAUGAUACAAUAGGUUGUGGUUCCAGAUUAACAAUAGACUCACCUGGCAGUUCAAAUUUUCUUAUAAUGCAGG